rnacentral:rRNA from 1 species
GGCCAGACUCCUACGGGAGGCAGCAGUGGGGAAUAUUGCACAAUGGGGGAAACCCUGAUGCAGCAACGCCGCGUGAGUGAGGAAGUAUUUCGGUAUGUAAAGCCCUAUCGGCAGGGAAGAAGGAGGACGGUACCUGACUAAGAAGCCCCGGCUAACUACGUGCCAGCAGCCGCGGUAAUACGUAGGGGGCAAGCGUUAUCCGGAUUUACUGGGUGUAAAGGGGGCGCAGACGGCAGCGCAAGCCAGGAGUGAAAGCCCGGGGCCCAACCCCGGGACUGCUCUUGGAACUGCGCGGCUGGAGUGCAGGAGGGGCAGGCGGAAUUCCUGGUGUAGCGGUGAAAUGCGUAGAUAUCAGGAGGAACACCGGUGGCGAAGGCGGCCUGCUGGACUGCGACUGACGUUGAGGCCCGAAAGCGUGGGGAGCAAACAGGAUUAGAUACCCCAGUAC